AUUUAUAUAUAAUUCAAUCUUUUUUCAUGUUGCAUGCAAACAACAGGCGCCAUCUUUUUAAUUUUUAAUUGAUAAGAUAGGAGAAAAUUCACCGUGUGUGCCCAGAGAUAUAAAAGAAAAGAAACACAUUUUUGUAUGUUCACCUUGAUGUCUUCGAGUUUGGAAGGAAAAGAAGACGAUCGCACGAUCUCGUUCCCUUCGAUUUGAAUAAAAUUUCAAAAGAAGGAUCGGCUAAAAUAAUGCGAGCCUGCCGCACGCAUCGAUCGAAUUUCAUCCGAUUUCGAAGCGACACGACAUUCUGCCGUCGGCACUCGUCCUCGGCACUCGUCCUCGGCACAUUCGUCGCGCGACUCGUCUCCUUCGGCCUCGAGGAGCACUAAUAAAACCUGGCUAUGUGCACGCACGUGUGUGUGUGUAUAUAUAUGAGAGAGGGCAAAAGAUAGGACGCCGGUCAGUUUACCCAACGAAACACGAAGGUCCUCGAGGAGAGCCGAACUUCCUCGAGAAUUCUUUGAAUUUUCGCCUCGAACGCCGCUGUUGCUGCUGCUGCUGUUGCUGACAUAUUCUUUGUCCCCGGCGCAGGCGCGCACGCGAGUCCA
rnacentral:lncRNA from 1 species